GAUGAACGCUGGCGGCGUGCCUAAUACAUGCAAGUCGAGCGAACGGACGAGAAGCUUGCCUUUCUGAUGUUAGCGGCGGACGGGUGAGUAACACGUGGAUAACCUACCUAUAAGACUGGGAUAACUUCGGGAAACCGGAGCUAAUACCGGAUAAUAUUUUGAACCGCAUGGUUCAAAAGUGAAAGACAGUCUUGCUGUCACUUAUAGAUGGAUCCGCGCUGCAUUAGCUAGUUGGUAAGGUAACGGCUUACCAAGGCAACGAUGCAUAGCCGACCUGAGAGGGUGAUCGGCCACACUGGAACUGAGACACGGUCCAGACUCCUACGGGAGGCAGCAGUAGGGAAUCUUCCGCAAUGGGCGAAAGCCUGACGGAGCAACGCCGCGUGAGUGAUGAAGGUCUUCGGAUCGUAAAACUCUGUUAUUAGGGAAGAACAUAUGUGUAAGUAACUGUGCACAUCUUGACGGUACCUAAUCAGAAAGCCACGGCUAACUACGUG
rnacentral:rRNA from 1 species